CACUAGAAAGUUAUGUUCCCCAUGUGAGGGAUAAUAUCAAACUUUCAUCUUCCAGGAGAGCAGAGAACAGGGUAGAGAAAAUGCACUUCCAUUUCUGAAGGGUCAAAGGUGCAUUCAUGUGGCACUUCAGGAGGACAUUGCACAGCAGGGAAUACCAGCUGCUGGAAGGCAUGCCUUCAAGACUAUCUCAGGAUCUAUAAAGGCAUUUCAAGGGAUCUAUACAGCUGUGUUUUGAGUCAUCAGUUUCCCAUCAGUGUUUUGACUCUGAUCACAUUGGAAAAGGUGAUCCUGAGAGGGUAAGUACUUUUUCUUGUGGAUAUCGGUUUUAGCCAGUCACCAGGAAAGUAGUUCUGCUGAUUCCCAAACGCUCCUUGAGUAAGACAGCAUGAAUCAUCUGUCGGCUCAGCUUCACAGAGCGGAAGUCAUUUAGCUUCUCCACCAUACCAGUUCUCACUACUAGCCUGCAAGUUUGUAUUUACAGUAAAGACACUCAUCAUGUUACAGUCCAUGUUUCUCAAUACAUUAGGCUUUUAGCACACACGUGAUAUUGCUCUUCUUUUUGUUUGGUCUAAGACUAGUUUCAUCCAGUGAGAACUGUACAAAAGACCUUUAUUUCUCUAAUCUUCUCACGUUAUAUAUUUAUUUUUGAAAACUCUUCCAGCAGCAGAAGAAAAUACUUACCAGAUAAAUGUGCAGGUUUGUUCAUAUUUCUUUUUAUCAUUUUGCCAUCAGUUCAUGAAUAUAU
rnacentral:lncRNA from 1 species